UUCUUUUCUUCGUCUAGAAGUAAAUUGAAGCCCUAUAAUAUAUCUCAUUUGGCUCUUACAAAUUGUCAUUGUAAUUUCAUAUCUCCACCGUUCCCCGAUCAUGCAAGAAGCGGAGCUUCACGAUUUAUCUGACGAUGCUGAUUAUGCUGCCUCUAUGCAACAAGGAUCAUCAAUCAUGAUGAGGAGCGAUAGUAGCAAGACUAGCUCGUCCAGCGAACCAGACGGCGCCGAAGUGGUUUAUUCGAAAGAUAAUGUUACUAUUCACCCCACUCAGUUUGCAUCUGAACGAAUUAGCGGAAAAUUGAAGCUAAUUAAACAAGGCUCCUCUCUCUUUAUGACGUGGAUUCCGUACAAAGGACAAAACUCGAAUGCAAAGUUAUCUGAGAAAGUAGAUAGGAAUUUGUACACCAUAAGGGCGGUGCUGUUUACAGAUGUGCAUUCCAUUCGCAGACACACUCCAGCUAUUGGGUGGCAAUUCAUAAUUGUGGUUUUAUCAUCAGGCCUUGCUUAUCCUCCUCUUUACUUCUACAAUGGUGGAGUUAGAGAGUUCCUUGCUACUGCAAAUCAACAUGUUGUUCUUGUGAGGUCUGCAGAAGAUGCCAAUGUAUUUCUUGUCAAUGAUUUCCAAAGUCCUCUGCAGAAAACUUUAUCUUCUUUGGAGCUGCCAAGGGUGGUUACCUUAGCAAGUGGGCCGUCAACAACUGUGUCAGUUGGUGACUGUCUUUUAAAUGAAAACCAAGAUAGGCCCUAUGAAGCAGUUGGCCAGGUAAGUUCCAGCAUUUCUCGGUACAAUGGGAGACAAAGGCAAAAGAGUCAUGAUCCUUCUCGAGACAUCUCAAUUCAAGUAUUGGAAAAAUUCUCACUUGUGACCAAAUUUGCCCGGGAAACAACUUCUCAACUAUUUCCUGAAAACUAUAGUAAUGGUUUUGGUCACUUUGAGGGGAAUUUCGAAAACCAGUCUAUCCAAAAUUACCAUCACAAAGCAUCCUAUGACACAGUGAAAGAUAGCAAUGCAGAGAAUGUUUGUGAUGAAAUUCCAGUACCCUCAGAUCCUCUAGAGAAAAUUCCUCAUAGGAAACACAAUCAUAAUGAAGAAGCUGCAACCAAUGUCAGAAAUUUUAAGCUAAUCAAUUUGAAGGAGUUGGAUAAACAAACACUAGUGUGGGGAAAGCCCCGACAGCCACCCUUAGGGCCUCAAGAGUGGGCAACCUUUUUGGAUAGUGAAGGUCGAGUCAUGGAUUCAGAAGCUUUAAGAAAGAGAAUUUUCUAUGGAGGAAUUGAGCACAAAUUACGCAGAGAGGUCUGGGCAUUUUUACUGGGAUACCAUACAUACGAUUCAACCUACGCUGAGAGGGAGUAUCUUAGGUCCAUUAAAAAGUCAGAGUAUGAGACCAUAAAACACCAGUGGCAGAGUAUCUCAACUGAACAGGCAAGAAGGUUUACAAAAUUCAGGGAGAGGAAAGGACUUAUUGAUAAAGAUGUGGUAAGGACUGAUAGGUCACGCCCUUUCUAUGAUGGUGAUGAUAAUCCAAAUGUGAAUCUUCUACGUGAUAUUCUAUUGACAUACUCUUUCUACAACUUUGAUCUUGGUUAUUGUCAGGGUAUGAGCGAUCUUCUCUCCCCCAUUUUGUUUGUAGUGGAAGAUGAGUCAGAAUCAUUUUGGUUGUUUGUGGCUCUGAUGGAACGACUUGGACCCAAUUUUAAUCGUGACCAAAAUGGAAUGCACACUCAGCUUUUUGCAUUGUCUAAGCUGGUGGAGUUGCUAGACAGGCCAUUGCAUAAUUAUUUCAAGCAGAAUGAGUGCCUGAAUUAUUUCUUUUGUUUUCGCUGGGUUCUAAUACAAUUUAAAAGAGAAUUUGAAUAUGAGAAAACAAUGCGAUUAUGGGAGGUACUAUGGACACAUUAUUUGUCAGAGCACCUGCACUUAUAUGUAUGUGUUGCAAUCUUGAAACGGUACCGGAACAAGAUAAUGGGGGAGCAAAUGGAUUUUGACACACUCUUGAAAUUCAUUAAUGAGCUUAGCGGUCGGAUUGAUCUUGAUCCCAUCUUAAGAGAUGCAGAGGCUUUGUGUAUAUGUGCGGGUGAACAUGGUGCUGCUUGCAUCCCUCCUGGAACUCCGCCUUCACUGCCAGUUGACAAUGGUUUGUUGUACUCCCUGCAAGAUGAUGAAGUAUUGUAAAUAUGAACCCUGUCCUGGCUGAAAAUUGAUUGAACUGUGAGCAACUUGUGAGUGGCGCAGAUUGAUUAAUAUUGAGUUGAGUUCGAGCUUGACCUGAUAAAAAUCUGAGAAAUUAAGGGCAGCUGCGAUUUCCGAUUCAACAGACUCCGUUGGACUUGGCUUUAAUGGGCCACAUUUGAAUCUUUUCGGAUUCUCCCCAUUUUGCCACUGUGUCCAUGUCCUGUGAAUCUUUUUUUCUCUCAGCCCCAUAUUUUCGGAGAAAUGGAGAUCUUCAUAGGGAUUUUCUGCGAUUUCAGUCACAAUGUUGGUUGUUGGUUUGAGAGAAACAUUCCACAUUAACAUUCUAGUUUAUUAUUGAGUGAAGAUUUGAUACAAUUUUAAUUAAAACUUGUAACACUUGUUAGUUAAUGUCACUCCCAUGUUUAGUUUUUUAUUUUUAUUUUAAUUAAUUGAUUAUAUAAUAAUCAACUUUUGCA